UACGUAGGUGGCAAGCGUUGUCCGGAUUUACUGGGCGUAAAGAGCGCGCAGGCGGUCUUGUAAGUCGAAUGUGAAAGCCCCUGGCUCAGCCAGGGAGGGUCAUUCGAUACUGCUUGACUCGAAGGCAGGAGAGGGAAGUGGAAUUCCGGGUGUAGUGGUGAAAUGCGUAGAUAUCCGGAGGAACACCAGUGGCGAAGGCGACUUUCUGGCCUGUUCUUGACGCUGAGGCGCGAAAGCUAGGGGAGCAAACGGG
rnacentral:rRNA from 1 species